GCUCAGGACAAUGUCAGUGUUGCCCCCGAUUCCUCAGGAGGGGAGCCUGUGGACAGAGCUGCAGCAGAGGAAGCUUCAUCUGGCACCGAGAGCUGCAGGAACGGUUCCCAGGAGCCCGAGGAGCCUGAUGCCAUCUGACCAACAUCUCCAGGAGGGCUGCCCUGCCUGGCAGGAGGAGACAGAGGAGAGCCCGUGACCAUCGGGCAGGUAGAAUUCCUCUGUUUGUAAAUAUGUUUAUAGAUUGCUAUGGUUUUAUUUAUCAAUGCUUAUAGUUCCAUUUAUAGAUUAAACUGUUCUGUUUAUAUGUGCAUAUAUUGAUAGAUCUGUAGAGUUAAAUGUGGAUGUGUAUACUGUUACAGAUGUGAUAUAUUUCCAUUUAUGUAAUUAGAUUUACUGAUUUUCUGAGUUAAAUUUAUAUAUGAGUAGAGUAAGAAAACCAUAUAUAUGAAGUUAUAUUUAUAAAUGCGUACAGUUGCAUAGUAAGAGGAAUAUGAGUGUUUAGAUGUAUAGAUUGAUGGAUAGAUUGCUGUUUGCGUAGGCCUAGGCUGCAUUUUUACCUCUUUGCCCCCUCGGCUGCCUUUCUCACCUCUUGCUUUUCCCCCUGUGCCCCCUGUGUCCCCUCUCCCUGUGCUGGAUCCCAGCUGGCGGCCGGGCCGGCCAGAGCAGCACUUCCAGCCCCGGCUGGCCCUGGAGCAGUGGGAGCUGCCGCUGGCCCCAGGCACUGUCCCCUGAGGAGCUGCUGAAGGACGCUGCAAGGAAGACCUUGAGGACAGCCGGAGACUGACAGGAGCCAGCAGGGAGAAGCUGAAGGCCAGCAGCAAGAGCCCCCUUGGCCAGUGGCCACUGCUGGUGGCCAGCACCCACAAGACAGUGCUCUAAGCCUGAUUAUGAGCUGGGCCCUGCUGGGUAAGAAAUACCAGCUCAUGAGUCCGACCAGAGAGUGUGGCCCAGUUGUGAACAAAGAACAUCUGUCACCGACAUGUUUUAGGAAAAAUCCUUUCCUUAGGAUUUUUCCCUCCUGAGAAGCUGAGAGGCCUCAGGAACAAACUGUAAACAAUUCUUAUCUGCUGCUGUGGAAUGCAACAGGGGGAAUCUGUGAUUGGUCUCAUCUGGUUGUUUGGAAUUAACGCCCAAUCACAGUUCACUUGUCCAGACUGUCUCGGUGAGAGACAAGCCUUUGUUAUUCAUUCCUUUCCUAUUCUUAGCUUAGCCUUCUGAUGAAAUCUUUUCUCUCUGUUCUUUUAGUAUAGUUUUAAUAUAUUUUCUAUCAUAAAAUAAUAAACCUAGCUUGCUGAUA